rnacentral:lncRNA from 1 species
AUGCCUGGUCUCAGAUGUGGGAACUGUCUCUGGGGAAGCCUCUCCACCCGCUGCCCAGGCAACAUGUGGUGGUUCCUCCUCUGGGGAGUCCUCCAGGCUUUCCCCACGCAGGGCUCCGUGGUGCUCCUGGCCCAGUGGCUGCCCCAGAACCUGACGUCCCCUGGGUACCCGGAGCCAUACGUCAAAGGCCAGGAGAGCUCCACGGACAUCGAGGCUCCAGAGAGCUAUGCUGUGAGGCUCCUGUUCCAGGACUUUGACCUGGAGCCGUCCCCGGACUGUGAGCAGGACUCCGUCACAAUCACAGCCAAUGGGAUGGAUCUCGGCAAGUUCUGCGGGCAGCAGGGCUCCCUGCUGGGCAGGCCGCCUGGUCAGAGGGAGUUUGUGUCCUCGGGGAACAGUUUGCGCCUGACCUUCAGUGCACGGGCCUCUGAAGACAAGACCCCAGGCCUCCACAAGGGCUUCCUGGCCCUUUACCAAGCCGUGGCUGUGAAUUAUACUCAGCCCAUCAACCAAGCCACUGGGGGCCCCAAGGCCAUCCACAAACCUGGAGACAACCCCACUGAGAUCCAGAGCUGUUGCCAGGAGCCCUAUUACAAGGCCAAGACCUCAGGAACACUCACCUGCACUGCCCAGGUGCCCUGGAAGCAGACCCAGGAAAGGGAGGAGGCUCCCCGCUGUAUGCCUGUCUGUGGACGGCCGGUGGUCCCCAUCUCGCAGACCCAGGAGUCCCUUGGCGCCUCCAGAGCUGAGCUGGGCAGCUUCCCCUGGCAGGCCCUCACCAGCAUCUAUGGCAGGGGCGGCGGGGCCCUGCUGGGUGACCGCUGGGUUCUCACCGCAGCCCACACCAUCCACCCCAAGGACAGCAUCUUGCUUGGGAGGAACCGGAGUGCCCAGGUAUUCCUGGGCUACACAGACACAGACCAGAUGCUGGAGCUGGGCGGCCACCCCGUGCGCCGCGUGGUCGUGCACCCGGACUACCAUCGGGACGACCCCCACAACUUCCACGGAGACAUCGCGCUCCUGGAGCUGGAGCACAGCGUCCCCCUGAGCCCCCACCUCCUCCCAGUCUGCCUGCCGGACCGCGAGGCCCUGUACCGGCCUGGCCGGUGGGGCUACGUCAGUGGCUUCGGCGUGGAGAUGGGCUGGCUGAGCACCAAGCUCAAGUACUCGCGGCUGCCCGUGGCCCCGAGGGCGGCCUGCGAGGCCUGGCUCCGGGAGAGGCAGAGGCCUGAGGCAUUCACCAACGGCAUGUUCUGCGCCGGGGACCAGACGCGGCCGCAGAGUGUCUGCCAAGGGGACAGCGGCGGCGCCUUCGUGGUGUGGGACGAUCGCGCCCAGCGCUGGGUGGCCACGGGCAUCGUGUCCUGGGGCGUCGGGUGUGGCGAGGGGUACGGCUUCUACACCAAAGUGCUCGACUACGUGGACUGGAUCCGGCGAGUGAUGGGUGAGAAGGACUGA